rnacentral:rRNA from 1 species
AUAGAGUUUGAUCCUGGCUCAGGAUUAACGCUAGCGGCAUGCCUAAUACAUGCAAGUCGAACGAAAGUAGCAAUACUUUAGUGGCGAACGGGUGAGUAACACGUAUCUAACCUACCAUUUAGUGAGGAAUAACUGUUGGAAACAACAGCUAAUACCGCAUAUGUUAUUUAUUUGCAAUGAUAAAUAAUGAAAGGAGCAUUUGCUUCGCUAAUUGAUGGGGAUGCGGCGCAUUAACUAGUUGGUAAGGUAAUGGCUUACCAAGGUAACGAUGCGUAGCCGAUCUGAGAGGAUGAACGGCCACAUUGGGACUGAGACACGGCCCAAACUUCUACGGAAGGCAGCAGUAGGGAAUUUUUCACAAUGGGCGAAAUCCUGAUGGAGCAAUGCCGCGUGACUGAUGAAGGUCUUCGGAUUGUAAAGGUCUGUUGUAAGAGAAGAAGUGCUAGAAUAGGAAAUGAUUUUAGUAUCGACCAUACCUUACCAGAAAGC